rnacentral:lncRNA from 1 species
GACGAGUAAUUAAUGAACGAUGAAUUCUCAUCGAUCGACAACGAUGGGCGGACGACCAACGUUCGUAAAGUCUGCAGAAGGAAACGUGCAAACGUACACCGAACGAGGACAUAUAUUUAUAAACACAAAUGCAAAUUUGAAAGGUGGAAGAAA